rnacentral:piRNA from 1 species
CCUGUCUGUUGUUCAAAUCCUUAUUGGUGU